rnacentral:rRNA from 1 species
UACGUAUGGUGCAAGCGUUAUCCGGAUUUACUGGGUGUAAAGGGAGCGCAGGCGGCACGGCAAGCCUGAUGUGAAAGCCCGCGGCCCAACCGCGGGACUGCAUUGGGAACUACCGGGCUGGAGUGCCGGAGAGGUAGGCGGAAUUCCUAGUGCAGCGGUGAAAUGCGUAGAUAUUAGGAGGAACACCAGUGGCGAAGGCGGCCUACUGGACGGUGACUGACGCUGAGGCUCGAAAGCGUGGGGAGCAAACAGG